ACAUCUCGGCUUCGUGAUGGUUCCCCGCGCCCGCUGUGGCAAGGGGAUCAAAAGGGAACACGGCGAGGCGUACCCAUCAGGGACCGAAUCCGUGGCUGCCCCCGCAACUGUAAGUGGUGAGGAUACGAUCAUGCACCCACUGGCCCUUGGGCCGGGAAGGGGAUCGCAUCCGGCAAAGACACCGCGAGCCAGGAGACCUGCCAUCCGAUCGCCUGGGCC
rnacentral:ncRNA from 2 species